rnacentral:rRNA from 1 species
UGGGGAAUAUUGCACAAUGGGCGCAAGCCUGAUGCAGCCAUGCCGCGUGUAUGAAGAAGGCCUUCGGGUUGUAAAUUACUUUCAGCGGGGAGGAAGGGAGUAAAGUUAAUACCUUUGCUCAUUGACGUUACCCGCAGAAGAAGCACCGGCUAACUCCGUGCCAGCAGCCGCGGUAAUACGGAGGGUGCAAGCGUUAAUCGGAAUUACUGGGCGUAAAGCGCACGCAGGCGGUUUGUUAAGUCAGAUGUGAAAUCCCCGGGCUCAACCUGGGAACUGCAUCUGAUACUGGCAAGCUUGAGUCUCGUAGAGGGGGGUAGAAUUCCAGGUGUAGCGGUGAAAUGCGUAGAGAUCUGGAGGAAUACCGGUGGCGAAGGCGGCCCCCUGGACGAAGACUGACGCUCAGGUGCGAAAGCGUGGGGAGCAAACAGG